rnacentral:lncRNA from 10 species
UUCUUAGGCAUUAUGAUGAUAUGGGAACAAAAUAAGGUCUCCCACGAAAGCAGAGUCGACAAGAGUCACGCCUUGAAUUGAAGGGAUAAAGAACGAGGGUAACUAAUGCAGAGAAAAAAUAACCACCCUCAACCAGGAGGCCACGCUGCAGAAGGAUCCAUCUCUCUGAGUUGUCUCUUUACCCUAGGCUGGGUCUGGAUGUUCAGAGCAGAGUUUUAGCAGGCAUGCUUUGGAGCUCAAGAAC